GAGCCGCUAGCUCAGUUGGUAGAGCAUCGCCCUUUUAAGGCGAGUGUCCUCGGUUCGAUCCCGAGGCGGCUCA
rnacentral:tRNA from 1 species